UACGAAAGGAGCGGGUGUUAUUCAGAUUAACUGGGCGUAAAGGGCACGUAGGUGGUUUGUUAUGUGUACUAUGAAAUCAUAAAGCAUAACUUUAUACUUGUAGUAUAUACAACAAAACUUGAGUUAGGUAGAGGGUAGUAGAAUUUCUAAUGUAAAGGUGAAAUUUGAUAAAAUUAGAGAGAAUACCAAUGGCGUAGGCAACUAUCUGGGCCUUAACUGACACUAAGGUGCGAAGGUAUGGGUAGCAAAUAGG
rnacentral:rRNA from 1 species